AUUGAACGCUGGCGGCAUGCUUUACACAUGCAAGUCGAACGGUAACAGGGAGCUUGCUCCGCUGACGAGUGGCGAACGGGUGAGUAAUGCGUCGGAACGUGCCGAGUAGUGGGGGAUAACGCAUCGAAAGGUGUGCUAAUACCGCAUACGUACUGAGGUAGAAAGUGGGGGACCUUCGGGCCUCACGCUAUUCGAGCGGCCGACGUCUGAUUAGCUAGUUGGUGAGGUAAAGGCUCACCAAGGCGACGAUCAGUAGCGGGUCUGAGAGGAUGAUCGGCCACACUGGGACUGAGACACGGCCCAGACUCCGACGGGAGGCAGCAGUGGGGAAUUUUGGACAAUGGGCGCAAGCCUGAUCCAGCCAUGCCGCGUGUCUGAAGAAGGCCUUCGGGUUGUAAAGGACUUUUGUCCGGGAGCAAAUGCUGGUGGCUAACAUCCACCGGAGCUGAGAGUACCGGAAGAAUAAGCACCGGCUAACUACGUGCCAGCAGCCGCAGUAACAC
rnacentral:rRNA from 1 species